rnacentral:pre_miRNA from 1 species
ACAACAUUUGGACCGUCGGUCUACCCAGCAACAUCACCCGCUCGGUGGAAGAUCUUCCCUCCGUCCU